rnacentral:rRNA from 1 species
AUUGAACGCUGGCGGCAGGCCUAACACAUGCAAGUCGAGCGAGCGGCGGACGGGUGAGUAAUGUAUGGGGACUUCCCGAUAGAGGGGGAUAACUACUGGAAACGGUUGCUAAUACCGCAUACUAUCGGAUAACCCAUAUGGGAUUAGCUAGUAGGUGGGGUAAAGGCUCACCUAGGCGACGAUCUCUAGCGGGUCUGAGUGGAUGAUCAGACAAACUGGGAAGGAGACACGGCCCAGACUCCUACGGAGGCAGCAGUGGGGAAUAUUGCACAAGGGGCGCAAGCCUGAUGCAGCCAGGCCGCGUGGAUGAAGAAGGCCUUAGGGUUGUAAAGUACGUGCAGCGGGGAGGCGUUACCCGCAGAAGAAGCAACGGCUAACUCCGUGCCAGCAGCCGCGGUAAUAC